UUACUAUCAUCUUUAUCUCAACUUACACAUGCAAGUAUCCGCAUCCCCGUGAGAACGCCCUUUCCCCUUAAUAGGAUAAGGAGCUGGUAUCAGGCACAGGCCCCCUAGCCCAUGACACCUAGCUUUGCCACACCCUCAAGGGUAUUCAGCAGUGAUUAACAUUGUUUAUAAGCGCCAGCUUGACUCAGUUAGAGAAUUAAGAGCCGGCCAAUACGGUGCCAGCCGCCGCGGCUACACCGCUAGGCUCAAGUUGAUAUUACUCGGCGUUAAGCGUGUUUAAAGUGCUACAAAUAAUUAGAAUUAAACUUAAACCAAGUUGUGACACGCUUGUUUCUAAGAAAAACAUAAACGAAAGUUAUUCUAAUUUAACCACUUGAACCCACGACAGCUAGGACACAAACUGGGAUUAGGUACCCCACUAUGCCUAGCCGUAAAAUAUUUACUUACACCUUUAACCGCCCGGGAAUUACGAGCCCAAGCUUAAAACCCAAAGGACUUGACGGUGUCCCACCCACCUAGAGGAGCCUGUUCUAUAAUCGAUUCUCCCCGAUACACCUCACCACUUCUAGCCUCUCAGCCUGUAUACCUCCGUCGUAAGCUUACCAUAUGAACGAUUUUUAGUGAGCUAAAAGAUUUACGCAUAAACACGUCAGGUCAAGGUGCAGCCAACGAAAUGGUAAGCAAUGGGCUACAAUUUCUAUAAUUAGAACACACGAAAGACUACAUGCAACUCAGUCAUGAAGGCGGAUUUAGCAGUAAAAAGAAAAUAGAGAGUUCUUUUUAAUUAGGCACUGGGACGCGUACACACCGCCCGUCACCCUCUUCAAACGCUCCAGCUCAGUUUAUAACACCACUAUGCACCAUAGAAGAGGUAAGUCGUAACAUGGUAAGCGUACUGGAAAGUGCGCUUGGAUAAACAAA
rnacentral:ncRNA from 1 species